rnacentral:rRNA from 1 species
AGAGUUUGAUCCUGGCUCAGGAUUAACGCUGGCGGCAUGCCUAAUACAUGCAAGUCGAACGAAAAAUAUAGAAGUGCUUGCACAUUUAUAUUUUUAGUGGCGAACGGGUGAGUAAUAUAUAGAUAACCUGCCUUAAAGUUGGGGAUGACAGAGGGAAACCUCUGCUAAUACCGAAUACGAUAACUAGACGCAUGUUUAGUUAUUAAAAGGGGCUCCAAAGCCCCGCUCUAAGAGGGGUCUAUAUCGCAUUAGCUAGUUGGUAAGAUAACAGCCUACCAAGGCGAUGAUGCGUAGCUGUACUGAGAGGUAGAACAGCCACAUUGGGACUGAGAUACGGCCCAAACUCCUACGGGAGGCAGCAGUAGGGAAUUUUCGGCAAUGGGGGGAACCCUGGCCGAGCAAUGCCGCGUGAUUGAAGAAGAUCUUCGGAUCGUAAAGAUCUGUUAUUAGGGAAGAAUGGAAUUGAUAGGAAAUGAUCAAUUUAUGACGGUGCCUAAUGAGGAAGCCCCGGCUAACUAUGUGCCAGCAGCCGCGGUAAUACAUAGGGGGCGAGCGUUAUCCGGAAUUAUUGGGCGUAAAGGGUACGUAGGCGGGCCUGCAAGUCUGAUUUGAAAGCACACGGCUUAACCGUGUGAGGUAAUUAGAAACUACAGGUCUAGAGAGUGGUAGAGGUAAAUGGAAUUCCAAGUGGAGCGGUGAAAUGCGUAGAGAUUUGGAGGAACACCAGUGGCGAAGGCGGUUUACUGGGCCACAUCUGACGCUGAUGUACGAAAGCGUGGGGAGCAAACAGGAUUAGAUACCCUGGUAGUCCACGC